AUGGUGUCAGUGAAGACGGAUUCA
rnacentral:siRNA from 1 species